rnacentral:rRNA from 1 species
AUUGAACGCUGGCGGCAGUCCUAACUCAUGCAAGUCGAGCGGAUGAAGGGAGCUUGCUCCUGGAUUCAGCGGCGGACGGGUGAGUAAUGCCUAGGAAUCUGCCUGGUAGUGGGGGAUAACGUCCGGAAACGGGCGCUAAUACCGCAUACGUCCUGAGGGAGAAAGUGGGGGAUCUUCGGACCUCACGCUAUCAGAUGAGCCUAGGUCGGAUUAGCUAGUUGGUGGGGUAAAGGCCUACCAAGGCGACGAUCCGUAACUGGUCUGAGAGGAUGAUCAGUCACACUGGAACUGAGACACGGUCCAGACUCCUACGGGAGGCAGCAGUGGGGAAUAUUGGACAAUGGGCGAAAGCCUGAUCCAGCCAUGCCGCGUGUGUGAAGAAGGUCUUCGGAUUGUAAAGCACUUUAAGUUGGGAGGAAGGGCAGUAAGUUAAUACCUUGCUGUUUUGACGUUACCAACAGAAUAAGCACCGGCUAACUUCGUG